UUUUACACCGGUUCCGAAACUUUGGGCGGUCGUUCGUGCACUUCGCUUCGCCUGCAGCGGAGUUUUCGAGUGGUGAACUUCGGUUAUUUUUGCAAGAAUGGCAGUAACAACACCACUUUAUAACCGUCAGUGUCACUGAUGGCAGGCAAGCCACCUACGAAAGAAGCAGCAGCCAUGGGCAAGACGAUUGGAACCCACAGUGGAAAUUUCCAUUGUGACAAUACGCUUCCUUGCUUCCUUUUGGAACUGCUGCCAGAGUAUAGGGACACCACUGUGGUUAGUUUUUUCCCCGGCGUCGAUGCUACCAUUUGGAGGUAAUCAUAAAUAUUCUACUUACCACCUGCACCCCCUGUGGCUGGCGCUGCACCCGUCGCCCGGCUGCCUGUGGUGCGAGCACGAAUGGGCUGAUAUGGCCCAUAGGCUUUGAAAAUGCCGACGCUAUGAGGAAGAAGGACCAAGAGGAAGGGGGAAGACAAGAGCAGGACCCUCUGAAGCGGGGCGCCUCGUUGAGAGAUGGCAAGCCGCCCUCCUCAGCGGCCCACCAGGAGUGGGCCGUCCAGCGGGCCACGGCCAUUGGCGAGGAUCUCGGAAGAUUUUUCUCUGGCGAUGGACCCCUGGCAGCCUAGCCCCGGGCACCAACAGCCAUAACCGUUGGACAAAUAAAGUUUAUUCCUAUCCUAUUCAUGCUUCUAUAGUACAGUAUAAGGUUGUUUGCUUUCUUUUUUUUUAUCCUACUGUGGACGUACUUCAGUACAGUGUAAUCAGACCGAUUGUUAUGCGUGUUGACAUUCCUGUUUCCGACAGUUCUGUGCAAGAUUACUGCCUAGAGUUGUUGCGUAUCUGCCUACAACAUACAAAACAUCUUAUGUUGAUUUUGUGUGCUCUCUAAUAGUUCUGUCGUGUAAGGUGGCAUCAUUUUUCAAAAUAAACAUUUCAAUGUAGCAUAUCACACUUUGUCCUAAAAUUAGUUUGGUAAUUGCGGAGCCACAUUAUUCCAAUUUAGAAGCAAAUAUUGCCAGCUUAAGCUUUUAGUGGUAGAACUUGCACCCCUGCUUUUAAAUGUUCCUAUAUGUGUAUAUUUUUUUGCCUAGGUGUCUUUCACCACUUCCUCAAAAGGACAUACUCUGGUAAAAUUGUACUGAAAUCUCUGGGAAUCAAGAUAGCUGACCUAAUGAUCUCAAAAGAGGAAUCUAAAUAUACAUGCUGUGCUUAUAAUAAAUACUUCUAGAAAUUUUAGCAAUUAUACCUGCUCUCCAUUCUGUAUCUGGUGCAUUGCAACAUUUUCUUUCACACCAAUAGACCUAUUGGACUAUUACACGAAUCGAUCGAUUAGACUAAUACACUAAUAGACGUAAUUGACUGUAUUAGUGUCAACAGCCUCAUAGACUAUUAGUUCUUGUGUUACAGUUCUUGUUAGGGAAUGUUUCUUACAAACAUGGCAGUCUAAUUAAAAGUACCUUUAGCUCAAGUUAGAAUUCCAAACCCAUUGAACCGUCUAAUUAGUUCUUGACUUCAUAACCUUCUGGCCAAUUGAGCCAAGCAU